UACAGAGGGUGCGAGCGUUGUUCGGAAUUACUGGGCGUAAAGCGCGCGCAGGCGGCUUUCUAAGUCCAUCGGUGAAAUGCCGGGGCUCAACCCCGAGCGUGCCGAGGAUACUGGGAGGCUGGAGACACGUAGAGGCAAGCGGAAUUCCGGGUGUAGCGGUGGAAUGCGUAGAGAUCCGGAAGAACACCGGAGGCGAAGGCGGCUUGCUGGGCGUGACCUGACGCUGAGGCGCGAAAGCGUGGGGAGCGAACAGG
rnacentral:rRNA from 1 species